rnacentral:rRNA from 1 species
GGGCAAGUCUGGUGCCAGCAGCCGCGGUAAUUCCAGCUCCAAUAGCGUAUAUUAAAGUUGUUGUGGUUAAAAAGCUCGUAGUUGAACCUUGGGCCUGGCUGGCCGGUCCGCCUCACCGCGUGUACUGGUCCGGCCGGGCCUUUCCCUCUGUGGAACCCCAUGCCCUUCACUGGGUGUGGCGGGGAAACAGGACUUUUACUUUGAAAAAAUUAGAGUGCUCCAGGCAGGCCUAUGCUCGAAUACAUUAGCAUGGAAUAAUAGAAUAGGACGUGUGGUUCUAUUUUGUUGGUUUCUAGGACCGCCGUAAUGAUUAAUAGGGACAGUCGGGGGCAUCAGUAUUCAAUUGUCAGAGGUGAAAUUCUUGGAUUUAUUGAAGACUAACUACUGCGAAAGCAUUUGCCAAGGAUGUUUUCAUUAAUCAGGAACGAAAGUUAGGGGAUCGAAGACGAUCAGAUACCGUCGUAGUCUUAACCAUAAACUAUGCCGACUAGGGAUCGGACGAUGUUAUUUUUUGACUCGUUCGGCACCUUACGGGAAAC